UGGUCAAAUUUUAUUCAGGUUUGAUUCCUUUAUUGAUUGUUGUUUUCCUAACAUAAAGUGAUAAUUAUUGCAUGCAGAUAUAAAAAAAUGAACAAUUAAACAAUAAUCUUACAGAGAGGUUCAGUCUGUUGACCAGGAUGAAAACAGGAAUUUCAACUGCAAUUGGGUAAAUAGCAUAGCAAGAGCAGACUUUCUUGCAACAGCUCCUCUAUUGACUUUAGUUGUUUUAAGGAUUCUGUAACAUAACAUUGCUUUAUUCCUACAUCAGAUUGAUGUAGUAUUCCCUUUCCAACUAGACAUGGUUGCAUAUUAAUACAGCCCAACAGAUGUCACUUUUAAUUAAAAGCAUAGGUUUCAUUUUUUGUAUAGAGUACUUUUCUUUUCUUAAUAAGUAUUAGUUGUUUUGUUGAAUAACAAAUAUUUCCAAAUAUUAAAUAACAUGAGGGUAGCAACCUAACACUACAAUCUAUCUUAAUUUUAAAGAAAUGAAUUUUAAGGAAAACGCCUUGCUCAAACUGAAGUAAUGUUGUGGACACAUUUGGAAUCUUCAUGUAGGCACAAUUUUUUUUAUUUGUUUGAUAGAAGUAUUUGGUAUGUAGUUUUGAAUGCAGAAUUCUAUAAAUAGUAGAUUAUUUUAAUAUUUGUAGCAACUCAAAUGUUAUUCCUUUUCUUCAAUGGUGAUCUAACUUGGGAUUGCCUCCACAUUAAAUUAUGCAAAUGAGUAUUUCAAGGAUCCAUAUUCCAUGUUAAUAUAACAUGUGUUUAAAGAAAACAAUAUCCACAGAAAACCUAAACAGUGACUCGUAAAAUGAUAGACAAUGUCACCUGUAAAAUACAUGAAUAAUACAAACAUUUAAACAACCUGAUGGAAACACUUGAGACAAGUGUAAAU
rnacentral:lncRNA from 1 species